AGAGUUUGAUUCUGGCUCAGGAUGAACGCUAGCUACAGGCUUAACACAUGCAAGUCGAGGGGAACCGAUAGAGAAAGCUUGCUUUUUCUAGGCGUCGACCGGCGCACGGGUGAGUAACGCGUAUCCAACCUGCCCACCACUUGGGGAUAACCUUGCGAAAGUAAGACUAAUACCCAAUGAUAUCUCUAGAAGACAUCUGAAGGAGAUUAAAGAUUUAUCGGUGAUGGAUGGGGAUGCGUCUGAUUAGCUUGUUGGCGGGGUAACGGCCCACCAAGGCGACGAUCAGUAGGGGUUCUGAGAGGAAGGUCCCCCACAUUGGAACUGAGACACGGUCCAA
rnacentral:rRNA from 1 species